AUUGAACGCUGGCGGCAUGCCUUACACAUGCAAGUCGAACGGCAGCACGGGAGCAAUCCUGGUGGCGAGUGGCGAACGGGUGAGUAAUAUAUCGGAACGUGCCCAGUCGUGGGGGAUAACGUAGCGAAAGCUACGCUAAUACCGCAUACGAUCUAUGGAUGAAAGCGGGGGAUCGCAAGACCUCGCGCGAUUGGAGCGGCCGAUAUCAGAUUAGGUAGUUGGUGAGGUAAAGGCUCACCAAGCCGACGAUCUGUAGCUGGUCUGAGAGGACGACAGCCACACUGGGACUGAGACACGGCCCAGACUCCUACGGGAGGCAGCAGUGGGGGAAUUUUGGACAAUGGGCGCAAGCCUGAUCCAGCAAUGCCGCGUGCAGGAUGAAGGCCUUCGGUU
rnacentral:rRNA from 1 species